CUUUUUGGCAGACCACAGAUCUAACUACUUAUAGAAGGUCUGCUGUUCUUCGUGGUCUUCCCCUGUACUUGAGAGAGCCAGCUUCAAUUUCAAAGACUAUUAAGGAUACUGAGGCACGGGGGCCACACACAAAGGCCAUGAAAAUGGGGAUCCUGGAAGUGACUGACAGUUCUACCAACUCAGGACCAGAUCCUAGAGUGGUCAAUGUGGCUGUAGUACUGGAGGAGGAAGUUGUCAUGGACAAUCUGGGAGACUUCACAAAUGCCCUCAUGACGCUCUUUGGUCUGCUGUAUGCUGUAAAUAUGGAGUACCCUAAGGACUUAAGGUACACAUUCGAGGCAGUCCAGAAGAUUGUAUUAAACCUGGGAAAAGAGUUCACAGCAAGGAUACAAUCCUUGAAAAACAAGUUAUUACAGGUGUAAUGGUCAUUACAUGUCAGUCAUUGAGGUAUGAAUGGUUUCAUGCAACAGUUUCUGUUAAUGCCAGUGACUUUUUUGUUGUUGAAUUUUUCUAACUGCUCAGGAACUUUUUGAUUACUUUUUUCCCGCACACAGUUUAUUUGUGGGGAAUUAGAAUUUCAGUUCAAAAGUUUGUUUCAGCAAUAUCUGAGUUUAUGCUGAUAUUUAAUUUGUAAGCAGUCAUCCCUGAGAAAUAGCAGAAUGUUUCAUUUUUAAAGCAGAGAUUUUUUUUUUGCCAACAGAACGGUUAAAUAGUGACCAUUGUAACCUGACAGUAGUGGGCAGUACUGUGUAUUUUUUAUUUAUUUAUUUUUUUACAUGUAAUGUAAUUGCACUUAGUCUUAGACUAACAGACAAAAAUGUUCCAAUGUUUACAGGCACAGCCGUUGUCAUGUUUUACUGAGUUUCAUUUUGUAAAGCAGAUAUUUGUUUUUCCGGUACAGCUAUUGACUAAGAGUGAUAUGUCAUGCUUUCUUGAACUCUCAGAUCUUGUUUCGGCACUGGUUGAAUACUUGUGUAAUAUUUUACUUGAGCCUAACAGGCAAGUUCAUAUGUAUUUAAAUAAAUACAUGGAAUGUUCUUUAUCAAA